rnacentral:rRNA from 1 species
UACGUAGGGUGCAAGCGUUAAUCGGAAUUACUGGGCGUAAAGCGUGCGCAGGCGGUUAUGUAAGACAGGUGUGAAAUCCCCGGGCUUAACCUGGGAACUGCAUUUGUGACUGCAUCGCUGGAGUGCGGCAGAGGAGACUGGAAUUCCUGGUGUAGCAGUGAAAUGCGUAGAUAUCAGGAGGAACACCGAUGGCGAAGGCAGGUCUCUGGGCUGACACUGACGCUCAUGCACGAAAGCGUGGGGAGCAAACAGG